ACUACCACCAGACAGGGGGUAUAGGGGGCUGAAGACACGCACACACAACGUUCUCGAGAUUUCUGAAUGCACAAUGAACCCUGCAACUCUGCCUCGCUGCUUUACACUCCCUUUGCACUACUCACUGCCUGAUCUGCUGAGCUUCUCCAGCAUUUUGCCUGGUUAGACCCACAGAGCUAGUUCAACGAUUUUGACCCGGUGAUGGUGAAAGAACGGUGGUAUAUCUUCAAGCCAGGAUGGAGCGUAAGUGUUUGGUGAAGAGGUCUGACAGAUACACAGAAAGCCACACCAGGAGCACCGGAUACAGUAGAUGACCCCAACAGACUCACAGGUGAGGUGUCGCCUGUUUGAAGCCCUGAACGCUGGUGAGGGAGGAGGUGUAGGGGCAGGUGUAGCACUUUUUCCACUUGCUAAGGUAAGUGUCAGGAGGGAGAUCAGUGGCGAGGGAUGAAUGGACAAGGGAGUCGCACACGGAGCGAUCCCUGCGGAAAGUAGAAAGUUUGGAGGAGGGAAAGACGUACUUUGUGCUGGGAUCCUGUUGGAGAUGGCGGAAGUUGCGGGGAAUUAUGUGCUGGAUGUGGAGGCUGGUGGGGCGGUAGGCGAUAGGUUGCACAUCUCCUUUAAACUUCACCCCUCUCACUUUCAAUGCAUGCGGUCCGGUAUUGGGCAAAAGAUAUUGGCUGUCUACUCUAUCUAUAAGUUUAUAAACUUCUGUCAGAUUUUCCUCAGGAUCUGCUGCUCCAGUGAAAACAAGUUUGUCUAAUCUCUCCUUGUAGUAGACACCCUCUAAUCCAGGCAGCACCCUGGAGAACCUCUUCUGCACUAGAGACUAAGCAAUGCACUCUUCCACACAAACAGAGGUAUCUCCAUGAAUCAUUUAAUUGGUGCUUUAACGCAGUGACUAUGUUAUGCUGAUCCAAUGAAGACUAUAUUUAUUGCUGCUGUCAUCUCAAUAAUCACCAGAUCAUGGAAUCAUCCCUGUCAUCAAACCGUUCUGAAACUUCAUUCAGCACAGAGUUGUCAAUCUUAUCUUACACCAAAGUUAGCUUGAUUGAAAACUUUGAGCACCAUCUAAUUCCUUAUUUUCAUCUGCCAGUACCAAUCAUAAAUGUAUUCUUCAGGUGAUAGAAACCAUUAAAAUCUACGUGCAAACACACACAAUAUGCUGGAGGAACUCUGCAGGCCAGAAAGCACCUAUGGAAAAAGAUAAUGUACAGAAUCAACUGGAAUUUAAAUGGAGACCUUGAACAGCAAUGUCGAUGGACAAAAUUUACUUCUGAAAUACUUGGCUGGACUAUAAAUGUUGUCUUAGAAGAGGCGAGAGUGUCAGGAAAGCUGAGGC